GCCUAUGGCCAUACUAGUCUGAAAGUGCCUGAUCUCGUCAGAUCUCAGAAGUAAUGCAGACUUGGGCCUGCUUAGGUAUACAGCGAAAAGCUGGGGAGACC